AUGAAUCACGAAGAUGGCGCUGAUGCUUGGGGUUCUCAAAGGCCAGAAACGCCUCCUUGGGAUGCAACAGAGUACAGUCAGCUCAUCUCUUCAGGGCCGUUGCUGCCACUACUAGAGCAGUAUGCAAGCGUAGAGCCUUCAUGCAGCGCGUGGCAUCAGGCAGCACCAAUGUACCUGCCAUCGACGUCAUACACAGGUUAUUACGCUGGUGGUAACCCGACAAACGUCUCGUGGCAAGCUUCAGAAACUGUAGGUGGAGCACGUCAUUUUGGUGUCACAAACAACACAAGAAGGUCAAAUGCAACACAACAAGGGCCUACAACUACAGUUAACAGCGGCGCGGGGACAUCUACUGCGGAGAGCUCUGAACGCACGGAAGACGCGUACCACCAGCCAGCAGACAAUCAUACCGCAGACAAUUUCGAGUCACAGUCGAGAAUGGCAAUCAUUCCAGCAAUACCGACAAGCACCCCUUUGAACACAAGCACUGCCAACACUCAAGUGGAUGGAAUUGCCGCCGAUACUGAAGUGAAUGAUGAAACUGACGACGAGGCAGAAGGGGAUGAAGAUGGCGGGCAAUCAGAGAUCAUGGUACCUCAGCCACCGUACAUUGGGCAGAGAUUUAAAUCAUUUGAAGAAGCAAAGGAAUACUACCAGACAUAUGCAAAGUUCCAUGGAUUUGCGGUCAACACCGAGUACCAUAGGAAAAUUAAGAAAACUAAUGAAUACAACAGAGGUGAGAUGAGGUGCCACAAGGCACGGAGGAAUAAGAAGGGGAAAGGUGAUGCGCCUGUUGUUCCGGAACGAAAAAGAGGAAUCAUUCUCAAGACGGGAUGCCCUGUCCGGUGUAAGCUGAACGUAGAUGGAACACAGUAUGUGGUCACUGAAUAUUUUGACGAGCACAACCACAAACUCAUAAAGAAGUUCGACCUGGUUAAAUUUCUGACCGCCCACAGAGGAUUCACCCCAGUCGAAAGGCAAUUCGUAAAGCUGCUACAUGAUUGUAACGUCGGUCCAUCAAGAAUGGUCCAGAUACUAUCACUCAUCCACAGCAAAAAGGGGAAACUGAGUAGCAUGCCGUACAUACCGGCUGACGUCACAAACCUACAGGCCAAUGCAGAUGCCAUGUUUAAUGAACUGUACUUCCAUUGGGGCAUGUUGGUGGACGAACAUACGUUCAAGGUGUGUUCUAUUUUGGGCAUGUCGGAUUCAGAACCUGAAGACCCAGACAAAGGAAGGAACUACUUCGUGAAAACCUCGAUCGAGCAAGGCGAAUACUACUGCCAAUGCUGCAAGUUCGAACGGGACGGCAUUGUGUGUUGUCACAUACUAAAGGUAAUGGACAUGAACGCUGUGACACGGAUGCCCCGCCAUUUCAUAAGGCGGCGAUGGACUCGGGACGCUGACGACGCGUUGGCGCCGCAGACAACACACGCGGUUCUGGCUGUGCAUGACGAGAGACCUGAGUCAACCAUGGAAGCCGCGAGGCACGUUGUGCUUACAAAGAACUAUGCUGAGCUAAUUGAUGAAGCGUGCAAGAAUGAUGAGACAGCGAGAGUCACAGAAAAACACAGGAAGGCACUGAAAAGAGAGCUUGAGGAGAUCAAGAAGAGGAAAGCUGAGGAAGCCUUACACCGGUUCCCCCGCACAUCAAGUGUGCCUUCAUCGACGGGGCCAUCUUCUGAAAACUCGGAGAUAGGAUCUGGAACAGCAAGCACACAAACCCAGGUCAGGAACCCACCCCGUUCCAUCACAAAGGGCCGCCCCAGAGAGAUAAGGUACAAGUUAGGAUUGGAGAUUCAAGCAAAACACAAGAAAAUGAAGAAAGGGGCGGGCAAUCCAUGA
rnacentral:rRNA from 1 species